UAUUGCACAAUGGGGGAAACCCUGAUGCAGCAACGCCGCGUGAGUGAAGAAGUAUUUCGGUAUGUAAAGCCCUAUCAGCAGGGAAGAAGAUGACAGUACCUGACCAAGAAGCCCCGGCUAACUACGUGCCAGCAGCCGCGGUAAUACGUAGGGGGCAAGCGUUAUCCGGAUUUACUGGGUGUAAAGGGAGCGUAGGUGGCAUGGCAAGCCAGAAGUGAAAACCCGGGGCUUAACCCCGCGGAUUGCUUUUGGAACUGUCCAGCUGGAGUGCAGGAGAGGUAAGCGGAAUUCCUAGUGUAGCGGUGAAAUGCAUAGAUAUUAGGAGGAACACCAGUGGCGAAGGCGGCUUACUGGACUGUAACUGACACUGAGGCUCGAAAGCGUGGGGAGCAAACAGG
rnacentral:rRNA from 1 species